UUUUUUAAACUUAAUUUUAAUAAAUUUGCGAGGGAGUUGCUGGGAGUGCACGCAGAUUCCUCGCAAAAUUGCCGAAAACCCUAAACAACUUUGUGAGGGAUUUGCGAGUCUUCCUAGCAACUCCCUCGCAAAAUUAGCGGCUUUUGAUUAGUUAUUUGGUCGGCUCCUCGCAAAACUGUAGCAAAGUUUGCGAGGGAUUUGCGGGUCGUUUUAAGUUUAUAUAUACAACGCGACCCAGACCAAAAACCCUAAUUUCCUUCUUCUUCUUUCUUCGUCUCCGUCUCCGUCUCCAAACAACGCACCGGUUCCAUUCUUGUUCGUCUCCGUCUCCGUCUCCGAUCUUCUUCUCCAGUUCCUUCUUUUUCCAUCUUCGUCUCCAUCUCCAUCUCCGUCUCCGACCUUCUUCUCCGUCUCCAAUCUUCUUCGCCGCCUCUCUAGUCCCAUCGAUCUCAAAAUGCAAGGUAAAGAAUCUUCUUUCGUUUAGGGUUUCAUGCAAGUCGAUUUCCGUAGAUAUGAUUAGGGUUUU
rnacentral:sRNA from 1 species